GUUCUCUUCAGCAGCACACACACUAAAACUGGAACAAUACAGUGAAGAUUAGCAUGGCCCCUGCGCAAAGAUAUCACCCAAAUUCAUGAAAUGUCCCGUAUUUUU